AUUGAACGCUGGCGGCAUGCCUUACACAUGCAAGUCGAACGGCAGCACGGGAGCAAUCCUGGUGGCGAGUGGCGAACGGGUGAGUAAUAUAUCGGAACGUGCCCAGUCGUGGGGGAUAACGUAGCGAAAGCUACGCUAAUACCGCAUACGAUCUAAGGAUGAAAGCGGGGGACUCGCAAGAGCCUCGCGCGAUUGGAGCGGCCGAUAUCAGAUUAGGUAGUUGGUGGGGUAAAGGCUCACCAAGCCAACGAUCUGUAGCUGGUCUGAGAGGACGACCAGCCACACUGGAACUGAGACACGGUCCAGACUCCUACGGGAGGCAGCAGUGGGGAAUUUUUGGACAAUGGACGCAAGUCUGAUCCAGCCAUUCCGCGUGCAGGAUGAAGGCCCUCGGGUUGUAAACUGCUUUUGUACGGAACGAAACGGUGAGCUCUAAUACAGUUUGCUAAUGACGGUACCGUAAGAAUAAGNACCGGCUAACUACGUG
rnacentral:rRNA from 1 species